AAACAACUCAGGCAUGGGUCAACAGGUGGUCUGAAGAAGUCGGCUGGGAAGGAGACGGAGGACUCCAGCUCCCUGGGGAACUCUUCAUGGAUGGUGUCGAAUCGCGGGACCCUGGCUCCCGUAAAGUUGAACUUGUCAAAGAUGUCGACAGCAAGAACUGGGGGGACAGUUCCUUUAAUCAGACAUAACUCCCAGGGCUUUCUUGAACCCCUGCUGUUUUCAAAAUGACCACAACUGUCACACUGACGCUGGCUGGCCAUAUUUAUUUAUUUAUUUUUGAGGUGGAGUCUCGCAGUGUCUCCCAGGCUGGAGUGCAGUAGCGCAAUCUCAGCUCACUGCAACCUCCGCCUCCCAGAUUCAAGCAAUAUCUCCUGCCUCAGCCUCCCAAGUAGCUGGGAUUACAGGCAGGCACCACCACGCCUGGCUAAUUUUUUGUAUUUUUGGUAGAGAUGGGAUUUCAUCAUGUCGGCCAGGCUGGUCUCAAACUCCUGACCUCAAGUAAUUUGCAUGCCCCGGCUUUCCAAAGUGCUGGGAUUACAGGCAUGAGCCACCACGCCCAGCCUAUUUACUUAUAUUUAUUUUUGAGACAGGAUCUCACUCUAUCACCCAGGCUGGAGUGCAGUAGCACAAUCUCAGCUCACUGUAGCCUCGUCCUCCUGCGCUCAAGCGAUCCUCCCACCUCAGCCUCAAGUAGCUGGGAAUACAGGAGCAUGCUACCACACCUGGCUAAUUUUUAUUUUUUAUUUUUAAUAGAGACAGGGUCUCACUAUGGCGCCUGGCUGGUUUCGAACUCCUGGGCUCAAGCAAUCUGCCCAUCUCAGCCUCCCAGUGCUGGGAUUACAGGUGUGAACUACCACGCCCAGCUGACUGACCAUCUUUAGAACAGAACUGACUUCCAACUUCCUGCAUCCCGCCUGUACUUACACCUGUCUACAGUGAGCCUGGAGUGAGGCGGGGUCCUCGACACCCACCCUUCUAGAGUCUCACACCUGAGGGUUUGGAAGCCCUGCCGGACCCCCAAGAUCAUGGCCCAACAUCUCCCUAGCCCGGGACCUGUCCCCUGGGAGCCACGGGUACGUCAUCACAGACUGUCUUCCCAAAGGCUCCAUUUACAGAUGAGGAAACAGAGGCCUACCUGCCGAAUAUUUUUUUUUUUUUU
rnacentral:lncRNA from 10 species